AUUGAACGCUGGCGGCAUGCUUUACACAUGCAAGUCGAACGGCAGCGCGGGCUUCGGCCUGGCGGCGAGUGGCGAACGGGUGAGUAAUGCAUCGGAACGUGCCCAGUAGUGGGGGAUAGCCCGGCGAAAGCCGGAUUAAUACCGCAUACGACCUGAGGGUGAAAGCGGGGGACCGAAAGGCCUCGCGCUAUUGGAGCGGCCGAUGUCGGAUUAGCUAGUUGGUGGGGUAAAGGCUUACCAAGGCGACGAUCCGUAGCUGGUCUGAGAGGACGACCAGCCACACUGGGACUGAGACACGGCCCAGACUCCUACGGGAGGCAGCAGUGGGGAAUUUUGGACAAUGGGGGCAACCCUGAUCCAGCCAUGCCGAGUGCGGGAAGAAGGCCUUCGGGUUGUAAACCGCUUUUGUUCGGGAAGAAAUCCUCUGGGCUAAUACCCCGGGGGGAUGACGGUACCGGAAGAAUAAGCACCGGCUAACUACGUG
rnacentral:rRNA from 1 species